rnacentral:rRNA from 1 species
GACGAACGCUGGCGGCGUGCCUAAUACAUGGAAGUUGAGCGCUGAAGGCUGGUACUUGUACCAACUGGAUGAGCAGCGAACGGGUGAGUAACGCGUGGGGAAUCUGCCUUUGAGCGGGGGACAACAUUUGGAAACGAAUGCUAAUACCGCAUAAAAACUUUAAACACAAGUUUUAAGUUUGAAAGAUGCAAUUGCAUCACUCAAAGAUGAUCUCGCGUUGUAUUAGCUAGUUGGUGAGGUAAAGGCUCACCAAGGCGAUGAUACAUAGCCGACCUGAGAGGGUGAUCGGCCACAUUGGGACUGAGACACGGCCCAAACUCCUACGGGAGGCAGCAGUAGGGAAUCUUCAGCAAUGGACGAAAGUCUGACCGAGCAACGCCGCGUGAGUGAAGAAGGUUUUCGGAUCGGAAAACUCUGUUGGUAGAGAAGAACGUUGGUGAGAGUGGAAAGCUCAUCAAGUGACGGUAACUACCCAGAAAGGGACGGCUAACUACGUG